GUGUGGAAAGAUGUUGAUGGUGUUCUGACUUGUGACCCUAAUAUACAUUCAGGUGCAGAACCUGUUCCCUUUCUGACUUUCGACGAGGCUGCUGAACUUGCUUAUUUUGGAGCUCAGGUCCUGCAUCCACAAUCGAUGCGACCAGCUAGGGAGGGUGAUAUUCCCGUUCGGGUGAAAAAUUCGUAUAAUCCUCAAGCUCCAGGUACUCUCAUCACCCGGAACAGAGAUAUGAGCAAG
rnacentral:misc_RNA from 1 species